rnacentral:rRNA from 1 species
GAUGAACGCUAGCGAUAGGCUUAACACAUGCAAGUCGAGGGGCAGCACAAGGUAGCUUGCUAUCUGGGUGGCGACCGGCGCACGGGUGCGUAACGCGUAUGCAACUUGCCCUAUACAGGAGGAUAACCCGUCGAAAGACGGACUAAUACUGCGUAUGCUCACAACUUGGCAUCAAGUGGUGAGGAAAGAAAUUCGGUAUAGGAUAGGCAUGCGUCCCAUUAGCUUGUUGGUGAGGUAACGGCUCACCAAGGCAACGAUGGGUAGGGGAACUGAGAGGUUUAUCCCCCACACUGGUUCUGAGACACGGACCAGACUCCUACGGGAGGCAGCAGUGAGGAAUAUUGGUCAAUGGGCGCGAGCCUGAACCAGCCAAGUCGCGUGAAGGAUGACUGUCUUAUGGAUUGUAAACUUCUUUUAUACGGGAAUAACAAGAGUCACGUGUGACUCCCUGCAUGUACCGUAUGAAUAAGCAUCGGCUAACUCCGUG